UCGGGAGUCACGCUUAUCCCUCGACCCGUGGAAGGGGAGGCCGAGGGGAAGGGCCGUCCUGCAUAUAAUCUCCUGCGGCUCCGAGAUUCGGCAGUCGGGUCCGCUGCGACGACCACGAUGCGGUUCCUUGCUUUCGUCCUCGUCCUGGCUCUCGCCGUCGCCUUCGUCGGCGCCAAGUCCUUGGCCUGCUGUGGCGGCGGAGGUCACCACGGCGGUCACGGAGGAGGUAACGGAGGUCACCAUGGAGGUCAUGGCGGUGGAGGCUUAGGCGGAGGCUUCGGAGGCGGCGGAGGAUUGGGAGGCGGUGGAGGCUUCGGAGGAGGAUUCGGAGGAUAGAACUUGAGGACUUCUCGGAGAAAUUACACGCACAUCACAUGACCAACGCAAUUACAGUGUCAAAAUUACCACUUGUCAUAGCAUGUUGUUAGUCUCUUUUCCCCAAGUGUACACCUACUCUUUCUUGCUUUUUUCAUUUGUUUUCUAUCCUUUUUCUUAUUAUUGGAAAUAAAGAAAUAUAAAACCAAA